rnacentral:rRNA from 1 species
AGGAGGCAGCAGUGGGGAAUCUUGCACAAUGGGGGAAACCCUGAUGCAGCGACGCCGCGUGAGCGAUGAAGCCCUUCGGGGUGUAAAGCUCUUUCGGCAGGAACGAUUAUGACGGUACCUGCAGAAGAAGCUGCGGCUAACUACGUGCCAGCAGCCGCGGUAAUACGUAGGCAGCAAGCGUUGUUCGGAGUUACUGGGCGUAAAGAGUGUGUAGGCGGUCCUUUAAGUUCGGUGUGAAAUCUCCCGGCUCAACUGGGAGGGUGCGCCGGAAACUGGAGGGCUUGAGUGUGGGAGAGGAAAGCGGAAUUCCUGGUGUAGCGGUGAAAUGCGUAGAUAUCAGGAGGAACACCUGUGGUGUAGACAGCUUUCUGGACCACGACUGACGCUGAGACACGAAAGCGUGGGUAGCAAACAGGAUUAGAUACCCUGGU